GGCAUCAUGAACUGUCCGGACGAGCUACUCUGCCAGCAAUUGAGCAGCGAAGAACCGCAUACUCGUGUGUAAUUGUAAUCUUUUCUGCUUCUUCAUUGUCCUAAACCUUGCCAAAGAUGGGAAGACACUUAUGUGACUAGAUUUCCGCAACGCCCCACAAUUACGUGCGUGCGACCUGUUGAGCCAUGGCGGCGACAGUGGAUGUUGGGGAUGAGGGUCUUGGAGAGAGUACAACAAAACAGGUGCGACGGGAAUAACCUGGCAUGUCGCGUGACAGCUAACGCGCAUCCCAACAUCCUCAACCCCUCCGGACUGUGAAGCACGUCGUUCGCCUGAACGCCGUCCAACGUUGCUUCCUUAGAUCUAAGAAGGUUAUCCGGCACGUGACAUAACGUAAUACAUAUUGCCUUUGGCGGCGGGUUCCGAGCCUGUUCCAGCCAAUCAACGUGGGUGCUGCUUGCUACACAUCGAGUUCUGAACUUGACUCCAAAUGCUCCCCCGCCAUCACCAUCACCACUGCACCCUUACAACCUCCCCCUCCGUCAUUGCUCCACCCGCACACCCAACCCUCCCCAAACCCCCUCCACGCUUCCUCCCCACGCUGCUAACACAGGUCUUCAGCUCGUACAUAUGCCGUACAAUAACAGACCGGGGCAUGCCUCACCCUGGCGACGUCGCGGAAGCAUCCUCCCUCGCGUAAGGCCCUUUUAACACAAAAAACAGCCGUUGCAGCAGCAGCAACACUAACACUAACAUUAACAACAGCAGCGCGCCUUGGCUGCUCUCUUGAAGGAGAUACGGGGACGGAGAUGUGGGGAAAGAGGGAGAGGGGGAGAGAAAAAAAAGGGGGGAAAGAGGGAAAGGGGGAGAUGGAAAAGAGAGCAUCACCCGCGCGCUCUGCCAGAAGCACACAGCCUCCCUCCCACCGGCGUUCCAGGCCCUCGCAACAACGAACUCGCUCAGCUAUCCUUGGCCGCCGAAUGUCUAGGUCCUCUCGUGAAAACAGGGAGCAUUCCUUUGUGCGGGGAAACAGGGGAGGGGGGAAAAAUAUUGGUGGGAGCACCGGAGCGCGAAUCUGUCUGUUCCUUCCGUCUGCUGCUUUCCUUCUACCGCAAUCUAUCCGAAGCUUUCCCCACGGACCCAUUAUUCCUCUUCCUCCUUCUCUUCACAUACCUCUUGCGACUCUGGUCUUCUCCUCCCCCGUACACUCUGGCCCUGGCAGCAGCUUCACUCGUUUGUGGUUCGUCUUCCUCCCACCCACCCCCCGGCACCGAGAAAACAAACAAAACCCAAUCAAGCUGCCACAUCAGCGAAAUCCCCCCAUGGCUAGUUGGAUACGGAUGGUGCAACCUCCCCUCCUUUCUUCUUCCUCCCUCCCCCCCACCCUCAGCAAGUAGGUACGUCGGAGACGUCCGUCGGCGGUCGACCCCUCCUCCUUCAUCUCCCCCUUUUCAUCUCAUGUAUAUUUCCCUACGGAGCCGCUCCGUCUGCCACCUUCCGGCCCACCCCUCCGUCCCGCCUGCCCGCCUACCUGCCUUGUCCUCUCCCCCUCUCUCUCCCCCCUUCCCGCAGUGCGGUCCCCCUCCCCCCCUCGAGUUACCCCCUGUGGGAGGGGCUCCCCCCCGAUCUGGUCUCCUCCGGCAAGCUGUCCACUCUGCAGCUGGAGGGCGUUCUGUACGCCUGCACCAAACACUGCGAACUGCUGCCCAG
rnacentral:lncRNA from 1 species